UGCAAGUCGACGAGCUUGACGGAUGAUUUCUUCGGAAUGAAACCAGAUAUGACUUAGUGGCGGACGGGUGAGUAACACGUGAGCAACCUGCCUUUCAGAGGGGGAUAACGGCUGGAAACGGUCGCUAAUACCGCAUGACGUGUUCGGAUGGCAUCAUCUGAACAUCAAAGAUUUAUCGCUGAAAGAUGGGCUCGCGUCUGAUUAGAUAGUUGGUGGGGUAACGGCCUACCAAGUCUACGAUCAGUAGCCGGACUGAGAGGUUGAACGGCCACAUUGGGACUGAGAUACGGCCCAGACUCCUACGGGAGGCAGCAGUGGGGAAUAUUGCACAAUGGGGGAAACCCUGAUGCAGCAACGCCGCGUGAAGGAUGACGGUUUUCGGAUUGUAAACUUCUUUUCUUAGUGACGAAGACAGUGACGGUAGCUAAGGAAUAAGCAUCGGCUAACUACGUGCCAGCAGCCGCGGUAAUACGUAGGAUGCAAGCGUUAUCCGGAUUUACUGGGUGUAAAGGGAGCGCAGGCGGGACUGCAAGUUGGAUGUGAAAUACCGUGGCUUAACCACGGAACUGCAUCCAAAACUGUAGUUCUUGAGUGAAGUAGAGGCAAGCGGAAUUCCGAGUGUAGCGGUGAAAUGCGUAGAUAUUCGGAGGAACACCAGUGGCG
rnacentral:rRNA from 1 species